UACGGAGGAUGCAAGCGUUAUCCGGAAUGAUUGGGCGUAAAGCGUCCGCAGGUGGCUGUGUAAGUCUGCUGUUAAAGAGUCUAGCUCAACUAGAUAAAAGCAGUGGAAACUACACGGCUAGAGUACGUUCGGGGCAGAGGGAAUUCCUGGUGUAGCGGUGAAAUGCGUAGAGAUCAGGAAGAACACCGGUGGCGAAGGCGCUCUGCUAGGCCGUAACUGACACUGAGGGACGAAAGCUAGGGGAGCGAACAGG
rnacentral:rRNA from 1 species